GUUUUGCUCAUCUUUGCUCUAUAUUGGCAGGGUUGGGUCUGUCUCAGUAUCAAUCUGAUAGAUCUAUCUAUGAAGAAUACAUCAGCCGUGUUGAUGCAAUAGUGUGUGCGUGUGUGUAUGUGUGUGUGUGUGUGUGUAUGUGUGUGUUAGGAGGGGGGGUCUAUAGUGCUGUCAGAUGACUCACUCUUGGGCCCCUAAUACACACACACACACACACACACACACACACACACACACACACACACACACACACACACACACACACACACACACACAAACUAUCUCUCCCUCUCCCACUCACUCUCUGUCUCCCUCUCUCCCCUGUUCUCCUGGAAGAGGGAUUCUUUAUCAAACUGCAUCAGACUAUUCUCCACUGGAGGGCGAAUUCUACAAGAGGAACAGGGCGAAUUGGAAGGAAUACAGUCGGAGCGAAGGGGUAGAGGCAACAGCAGCUGGAAGCAAGAGAGACAGAGAAAAUCCCGGCCCGAUCCCUGCAAGCAUCAUUCUCGCCACCGGAUUAAAUCCGUCCCCUCCUCGCACGCCAAACCACACGUUAGCACUAGCGCGGCUCCCCGCAAUUUCCUCUCAUCACUCAAACAUCAAACAUACUCCACGCGUCUCUUCUUCCUGCACUCUCUCAAAACACAGCUGGGGACGUACGGUAGCAUCUGCUAGCUAGCUGUAGCCCGACAGAUGAAACGCGUCCGGGGGACGAGCGCUCAUGUACAAUGUCUCUCAAAGCAAACGAUGCUGCUGUAUGAGUCAAACGUCAAAACCCCUCCAUCACACGGCUUCAGAAAACUUCGCGGAUAUUGCGAGUAACGGCGGUCUCCUCCUCCUACUCCUCCUCCGCCUCGCAGGCUACAGCCAACAGCUAGCUCUAGCGGGACAGUGAGGGAGGAGAGGAGCCAGCUGAGCUGACCGAUAUCAUACACGCUUCAACAGUGUUAAUCUCACUCCACCACCGCCACUUGUUUUUUCGUUUUUUUUAUAUAUAUUUCACAAACACGUUCCGAUUGUCACAGCACAGAGUAUGCGCAAGCCGAUGCGAAAUAAUCAGAAGAAAACACGCGUGUGGACAGGCGCUCCGGGACCGAUUGUGUGUCACACGGAGCGGGUUAAUGUCAGCCCGUAUAUACAUGCAGGCGCCUUAUCUGUCGCUGCCAUGCAUACUAAUCUAGGACCGUGCUCCGGUUCUAAUGCCCCUUCCUGUGUUAAGAAACACACAGAGGAUGGAAAAGACGACAUCAUGCGCUGAAUUAGACAGACGGUGGGAUCUGUGGCUUCUGUUUGAACGGCUGCGAACUAAAAAUGAACGGGAUGAUUUGUUUAAAGGUUGCCAAGCUUGUCCCAUGGGCGUUCAUGUUUGGAGAGCAAAUAUAGCCGGUGUGUCAGUAUACAGUCUGGGAAAUGCAAUGGAAUGAUGUUGCGUGUGCCUCUGCCUCGGUUCGCUUGACGUGCUGUGCAACCUCUUCCGUCAGAUGCGGUCGGAUUUUAUGAACAAUCCUGCUUGUGAUCGAGUUUUUAAUGCGGGAACUCGCAUGGCGUGAACCAUGCUACAUUUUAUGGUCAUGAAUGGUGUUUUCUUGAUGGUAAAAGCGUGCUGCUCUGAAUGGGGCUCACGUUAUGUAAAGAGAAAACAAUGCAUGUUCUGGAUUGUUUAGACUAGCAUACUUGCCUCAGUGGUGAUUAAAGAAGCAAACAUUACCCGCCCUCACAAAAAAAUGUAAUCUGCCUGUCCCUCUGGCUGUGGCGUCAUCACAGUCACAUAGUGUACUGUACAGAGUCUGUGCGAAGAGGGGCAUUGAGAAGCUUACAGGCUAACCGAGGCAGGUUGCAGGUGGUUUUCUCACCUUGUUUAGUCCACAUUAAAUAGAAGCACUAAAAUGUGUUAUUCAUGUGUUUUGAUAAUUGUUGCUAAUCGAUAACUAAUGCCAUACUAUAUAUAUGAUAUAUAGCCUAUAUAUGAUAAAUAAUAAUGUGUGUGUGUGUGUGUGUGUGUGUGUGUGUGUGUGUGUGUGUGUGUGUGUGUGUGUGUGUGUGUGUGUGCGCGAUAUAUAUGCCUUCUAAUGGGCAAUCCCAUCUAAUAAACAAGAGGCAAUGCAGAUGUAAAAUUGUACUAGUAUUAGAAUUGACCCACAGCAUCAAUAAAAAACUGAAUGAGCGUUUAAUUAUUUAUUUUGUUAUUGGAGUGCAUAUUAUGCACAUAAUGGUGCUUAUGCUCGUACAAUCAUACCUGUG
rnacentral:lncRNA from 1 species